rnacentral:rRNA from 1 species
GAUGAACGCUAGCGGCAGGCCUAACACAUGCAAGUCGAGGGGUAGAGUAAGCUUGCUUACUUGAGACCGGCGCACGGGUGCGUAACGCGUAUGCAAUCUACUUUAUACUAAGGGAUAGCCCAGAGAAAUUUGGAUUAGUACCUUAUAGUUAAUUUAGUUGGCAUCAAUUGAAUUAUAAAGAUUUAUUGGUAUAAGAUGAGCAUGCGUCCCAUUAGUUAGUUGGUAAGGUAACGGCUUACCAAGACGAUGAUGGGUAGGGUCCUGAGAGGGAGAUCCCCCACACUGGUACUGAGACACGGACCAGACUCCUACGGGAGGCAGCAGUGAGGAAUAUUGGACAAUGGGCGCAAGCCUGAUCCAGCCAUGCCGCGUGCAGGAUGAAGCAUCUAUGGUGUGUAAACUGCUUUUGUACGGGAAGAAAAAACAUUACGAGUAAUGUACUGACGGUACCGUAAGAAUAAGGAUCGGCUAACUCCGUGCCAGCCGCCGCAGUAA